rnacentral:rRNA from 1 species
CUGCGAAAGCCGGAUUAAUACCGCAUACGACCUAAGGGAGAAAGCGGGGGAUCUUCGGACCUCGCGCUAUAGGGGCGGCCGAUGGCAGAUUAGCUAGUUGGUGGGGUAAAGGCCUACCAAGGCGACGAUCUGUAGCUGGUCUGAGAGGACGACCAGCCACACUGGGACUGAGACACGGCCCAGACUCCUACGGGAGGCAGCAGUGGGGAAUUUUGGACAAUGGGGGCAACCCUGAUCCAGCAAUGCCGCGUGUGUGAAGAAGGCCUUCGGGUUGUAAAGCACUUUUGUCCGGAAAGAAAACUUGCGCCCUAAUAUGGUGUGAGGAUGACGGUACCGGAAGAAUAAGCACCGGCUAACUACGUACCAGCAGCCGCGGUAAUACGUAGGGUGCGAGCGUUAAUCGGAAUUACUGGGCGUAAAGCGUGCGCAGGCGGUCUGUUAAGACCGAUGUGAAAUCCCCGGGCUUAACCUGGGAACUGCAUUGGUGACUGGCAAGCUAGAGUAUGGCA